rnacentral:rRNA from 1 species
UAUCAUGGCCACAUCUCUCUGAAUGCUACUGCUCUCUUUUUGAUUUCAGAAGCUAAACAGGGUUGGGUCUGGUUCAUACUUAAAUGGGAGACCAUCCAUGAUUCCUGAGGAUUUGUAGA